GAUGAAGAACGCAGCGAAAUGCGAUAAGUAGUGUGAAUUGCAGAAUUCAGUGAAUCAUCGAAUCUUUGAACGCACAUUGCGCCCCUUGGUAUUCCAUGGGGCAUGCCUGUUCGAGCGUCAUGGGUACCUUCAAGCUUUGCUUGGUGUUGGGUGUUUGUCUCGCCUUUGCGUGUAGACUCGCCUUAAAAUAAUUGGCAGCCGGCGUAUUGAUUUCGGAGCGCAGUACAUCUCGCGCUUUGCACUCAUAACGACAGCGUCCAAAAGUACAUUUUACACUCUUGACCUCGGAUCAGGUAGGGAUACCCGCUGAACUUAAGCAUAUCAAUAAGCGGAGGA
rnacentral:misc_RNA from 1 species